AACAUUCCACGUCUGAGGGGCCAUGAAUAAUGCCACGGAGCCUGAGAGAAAGAGGGGGAAAAAGACUCCACUCCUGCUCCAGUUUAUCAACACACAGCUGUACUACUCCUCGGUAACACGCACACCUUGCACACUGCUGAAGAUGACGCAGUCAGGGUAUGUUUUGUACCAUCGUUUCUUUCUUUCUCACUCUGAGGCAAUGACCUGGUUCCGGUUUGAAUGGGCCAACAUGGGUUAUCUAACCUGCUGCGACCCGGAUUUACGCUCAUCUCACACACAACAAAAAGAAAACGAGGGUCAAAGGUUACAUUUUCUUGUACAGAUUGACUUGCACAGAAUGCAGUUCUUGUGUUUAACGUCCCAAUAUUUACCAAUUAGAGCAGCCUGGCGUGAGCUUUUCAGCAUAAUGUGGUUUCAUAUUCACAUGGGUGGAGGUUCGCAGAAAGAUAUAGUCCCUGUGUUGAUGUAUGUAAGUUUGAUUAUGUUUCAUAUUAAAAUGUUUGAAAUACAUUUGAAUGUUACACUCUGUUUAGGUGGAACUGAUUUGAACUACUGUACACUCUGCUUGGUAUUUGUCCGCAUCAUUCAUGAUCUUCAGGUUCUGUUACUAACUAUAUACUAA
rnacentral:lncRNA from 1 species